GACGAACGCUGGCGGCGUGCCUAAUACAUGCCAGUAGAACGCUGAAGCGAGGAGCUUACUCUUCUUGGAUGAGUUGCGCACGGGUGAGUAACGCGUAGGUAACCUGCCUUGUAGCGGGGGAUAACUAUUGGAAACGAUAGCUAAUACCGCAUAGCAAUGGAUGACACAUGUCAUUUAUUUGAAAGGGGCAAUUGCUCCACUACAAGAUGGACCUGCGUUGUAUUAGCUAGUAGGUGAGGUAAUGGCUCACCUAGGCGACGAUACAUAGCCGACCUGAGAGGGUGAUCGGCCACACUGGGACGGAGACACGGCCCAGACUCCUACGGGAGGCAGCAGUAGGGAAUCUUCGGCAAUGGGGGCAACCCUGACCGAGCAACGCCGCGUGAGUGAAGAAGGUUUUCGGAUCGUAAAGCUCUGUUGUAAGUCAAGAACGGGUGUGAGAGUGGAAAGUUCACACUGUGACGGUAGCUUACCAGAAAGGGACGGCUAACUACGUG
rnacentral:rRNA from 1 species